UUGACACACCAGUUCUCAUACGAUCACCGAAGUUAAGCAAUGUCGAACCUGGUGAGUAUCUAGAUGAGUGACCUCUUGGAAAUGCCAGAUGCUGUAA